rnacentral:rRNA from 1 species
UCGGGAAUAUUGCGCAGUGGAGGAAACUCUGACGCAGUGACGCCGCGUGCAGGAAGAAGGUUUUCGGAUUGUAAACUGCUUUAGACAGGGAAGAAACAAGACAGUACCUGUAGAAUAAGCUCCGGCUAACUACGUGCCAGCAGCCGCGGUAAUACGUAGGGAGCAAGCGUUAUCCGGAUUUAUUGGGUGUAAAGGGUGCGUAGACGGGAAGACAAGUUAGUUGUGAAAUCCCUCGGCUUAACUGAGGAACUGCAACUAAAACUAUCAUUCUUGAGUGCUGGAGAGGAAAGUGGAAUUCCUAGUGUAGCGGUGAAAUGCGUAGAUAUUAGGAGGAACACCAGUGGCGAAGGCGACUUUCUGGACAGUAACUGACGUUGAGGCACGAAAGUGUGGGGAGCAAACAGGAUUAGAUACCC